AAAUUGUCUACCCCUGCCCUGUGGGGCAGUGUCUGUGGGUUCCACUUCUCAUCCUCUGAGGGUGUAAACUCUUAUCAAAGGACUCACAAGUUUCUAACUGAGUUAAAAGAGUGGACCUCUCCAACAAUAAAUCAUGGGAGUUCCAUCCUGAUCUACAUUCCAAGCUCCUGAAGAACAUCUAUUGCUAAGGACAAGUUUCUUUCUUGCUGUCUAAUCCCACAGACUUGUCUCCUCUUUCUUAGAUUCCUCUAAAACCUGUAUUCUACUCCUGCUCCUCAGGCUUAG
rnacentral:lncRNA from 1 species